GUCGAGCGGUAACAGGGGUAGCUUGCUACCCGCUGACGAGCGGCGGACGGGUGAGUAAUGCAUAGGAAUCUGCCCGAUAGUGGGGGAUAACCUGGGGAAACCCAGGCUAAUACCGCAUACGUCCUACGGGAGAAAGGGGGCUCCGGCUCCCGCUAUUGGAUGAGCCUAUGUCGGAUUAGCUAGUUGGUGAGGUAAUGGCUCACCAAGGCGACGAUCCGUAGCUGGUCUGAGAGGAUGAUCAGCCACAUCGGGACUGAGACACGGCCCGAACUCCUACGGGAGGCAGCAGUGGGGAAUAUUGGACAAUGGGCGAAAGCCUGAUCCAGCCAUGCCGCGUGUGUGAAGAAGGCCCUCGGGUUGUAAAGCACUUUCAGCGAGGAAGAACGCCUAGUGGUUAAUACCCAUUAGGAAAGACAUCACUCGCAGAAGAAGCACCGGCUAACUCCGUGCCAGCAGCCGCGGUAAUACGGAGGGUGCAAGCGUUAAUCGGAAUUACUGGGCGUAAAGCGCGCGUAGGUGGCUUGAUAAGCCGGUUGUGAAAGCCCCGGGCUCAACCUGGGAACGGCAUCCGGAACUGUCAAGCUAGAGUGCAGGAGAGGAAGGUAGAAUUCCCGGUGUAGCGGUGAAAUGCGUAGAGAUCGGGAGGAAUACCAGUGGCGAAGGCGGCCUUCUGGACUGACACUGACACUGAGGUGCGAAAGCGUGGGUAGCAAACAGGAUUAGAUACCCUGGUAGUCCACGCCGUAAACGAUGUCGACCAGCCGUUGGGUGCCUAGCGCACUUUGUGGCGAAGUUAACGCGAUAAGUCGACCGCCUGGGGAGUACGGCCGCAAGGUUAAAACUCAAAUGAAUUGACGGGGGCCCGCACAAGCGGUGGAGCAUGUGGUUUAAUUCGAUGCAACGCGAAGAACCUUACCUACUCUUGACAUCCUGCGAACUUGUGAGAGAUCACUUGGUGCCUUCG
rnacentral:rRNA from 1 species